UUGAAAUGCUCUGCUGCCCUCAGGCUUUGAAGCACAGACUCAAAAUGUGACCUCUUUCAUUCAAAAUAUGCCUUUCUUUUCUCUGAAAAUUUACACAAAUCUGACUAACUUGUAAAUAUUAGGGUUUUUUUUGUUGUUUUUUUGUUUUUUUUUUUAUUUCUCAAAUGAGCACACCCUCAGUAAUGGUUUCUUUUAUUCUAAUAGGAAAAAAAAAGAAAAAGAAAGAAGGAUCAUUAAAGACUGAUCUUGACUGAGAACAGCAGCUUAAGGAUACUGUGGUAAAGCUAGAUUUCCACUUUAAUCCCCACCUCCAAAUUUUCCCAGUGAGCCCAAGCCUUGGCACAGGAUCUGAGAGGUAGGAAUCCUAUCUCUUCUAAGCUCCAAACGAUUUGAAGGUUGUAUCAAGAAGAAAGGUCUCUGCCUGAAUACGACAGGGAGAAAAUUCCACCCUAUGACAGAGAAGGCAACAGAGGCAGCCAAGCAGCCCGGAGAGAAAAACUGGGACUGGCAUUUGGAGCAGGAGCCUGGGACUGAUUAGAUGCUCACAUGAUAUCCUAAGAGAAGAGUCAUUUGGAAAAAGAGCUGACUGCAGCAUGUGCAAAGGUACACAUCAGCCAGACACAAAGAUGAAGCCUGCUUCCAGCCUGAAGCUCAUAGCCUCUAAAUCCACCUGAAAGCCCUUCUCCUUAAGGUAUGAACUUAAAAUAGGCCAAAAUGAUUACUCAUUGCAGUAUCAUGUAUCAGUAUCUCUGAUCUUACCAACAUCUCACACACCUGAAUUAAGUGAUGAGACAUCUGAAAUAGUUUUUAUCUCUACUUUCUCUGAAACCAUAAAGGCUGCACUGCUUUGCUUUCUCACUGCACACUUCUUCAGGUGACUUGCCAAUGGGCUCCAUUCUCUAUUGCACAGCAAUGCUCGCAGUAACAAGUUGUUGGAACAGCUCUCCGCACCUCUUUCUCUGACUCAAGAAGAGUGUUUCAUUUUUGUCUCCUAAGUACAGCAUUAUCAGCUGCAUUUUCCAUGUGGAUUCAUUUGUGUAGUAUCUGACAAUAUUUCUGCUCCUUCUGGGCCCUUUUCUGUUGCUGUCUAGAUUUACACAAUUUUUCUAAGCAGAGGGAAGAAAUGUCUUAGUUCAAUCAGGUAGUGCUGUCCUGCACCAGAGUUUAAAAGACAUACACAUCUUCUGUUUCCUUUUGCAAGUGCUACUAUACAAUCUUCAAGCUGCAGUGACAGGAAAUAGUUAAGACCUACGUACACUAAAGUGAAAACAUCUAGUGUAACAUGAAAAGAAACUUGCUAAUAUAGAACAAAAAGCAAUACAGAUGAGCAUCAGUACCAAGUGCAGGCUACAAUCCUGCAGAUGACUAACACACUGGCAAAACCAUUCAUAUUUACAUGAACAUUGUAUAAGUGCCAAGUGCACCAAGAUGUUGCAUAGAAGGUCUGGUCAUGUAAGGUAAAGCUUCCCAGAGGCACCCUUUAAUUGGUCUAAUUUUCCCUGCC
rnacentral:lncRNA from 1 species